CACGUAGGGGGCAAGCGUUGUUCGGAAUUACUGGGCGUAAAGGGCGCGUAGGCGGUGUGUCAAGUCAGGCGUGAAAGCCCCGGGCUCAACCUGGGAACUGCAAUGGAAACUGGCGGGCUUGAGUGUGGCAGAGGGGGGUGGAAUUCCGCGUGUAGCAGUGAAAUGCGUAGAGAUGCGGAGGAACACCGAUGGCGAAGGCAGCCCCCUGGGCCAACACUGACGCUCGAGGCACGAAAGCGUGGGGAGCAAACAGG
rnacentral:rRNA from 1 species